rnacentral:lncRNA from 1 species
AGCUGUUCUCCAAGUUCUAUUUCUGAGCCAAAUGAUUUCUAGUUUGGGGUGCUAGAAAUCAUAUGUAGAUGCUGGAGGGACAUUACUGGCCUCCCCCAUGCAAAUGAAUUGAUAUGCAGUAUUUUAAUAAAAUCCUGCUAUGCAACAUACAUGCAGGCAGAUAAACAUUCAGUAAAUUGUUGGUGCUGAGUGAUUGUUGGCAAUCAUGAUUCCCUAGAUUUAGAUAAGUAAAAAUAAUAGCAAUUAUUAUCUUCUAUGUGUAGACUCUUUUAAAAUUGUUUUUGUAAUUAGAAUCUUUUCUUAUCUGGAAAUAAAGAAAGUGAAACACUGUAAACAGAAAUUAACAAUACACCUAAGGUGGCACAUCCCAUUAGUGGGAGAUCAGUAAUGAGAACUCAAGUUCUCUGCCUUGGCCCUCUGUUAAUUAGAAGUUUGGGAAAGCUUUGGGCAGGUCUCUGACUUUCUAAGUCUGAAAUCCUGUAGAGAAGCUAGAAUUCUUUUUCAGAAAAUACACAUGACUGCCACAGUCAUAGACAGACUUUUAGUUAGCAUGAGGUACUGGUCUGACCCAUUAUAGCAGCAUAAUCAUGCUCAUAUUGCUUUCUGUUGAUUCACCUGAAAUUUCAAGCAUUAGAAGAGAUCUGGUUAUAAAAAUUUUUUAUUAUCUGUCAUCUAUCAAUUUUGUGUUUUGAUUUAAAAAUGCAACCAAAAAGAUAACAGGAAAAGCACUGAAAAUAUACCAUUGUUAUGGUUAUUCAAAGAACUUUUUUACAGUUUUGUAAAAUUGCUAGCUCUCUACUUGGGUUUUUCUCUAAUGAUUCCACACAAUUCACAGAGGCAGCUGAAAAGAAGGAAAAGGGCUUCUGGUAAGAAAUAUAAGAAGGCAAAUGCAGCAACCGUGUGUAAUUCUGAUUUCUUUUCAAUACGUCAUGUGACAUUUCUGAUUAUAAAUUGAUGGCAGACCCGCACUGGUAUGAAAAAUUUUCUGUUAUGUCAUGCAGACAUGUUAUUCAUAACAAUGUACCAGAUGGAAAACGUGAGCACUUUAAAUGGAAAGUGAGUUAUUUGGUCUUUCUAUUUUGUAUAAAUCUUCAAAGCAUAAAUUAAAAGCAGAAGAGUGCCUUGUACAGUUUCAAGAUCUAAAAACCUCUACCAUACUCUGCAAAUUUCUCAGCAGUGUGAAGGACAGUGUGUUCAGCUAGCCAGACAGACAAUCUUAUCUAUUCUCUAUGUUGUUGUUCCACUCUGGGAUGACUGGGUUAAAGAAAAAUGUACCCUGAAAUGAGUAUUUCCAACUCUAAAUAUGCAACAUGAACCUUGAGGCCAGACAGGGUUUAUUUUAGUUUCUGCUCACAGUGCUGUGUGUGCUGCUUCAUGUUGAAAGAUUUCUCAUUCAGAAAAUAUUUCAAUCUUUCAUGGUUUUGCAGUGACUACAUAAAAGAAGACUCAAUGCACAGAGAAAUAAUCUCUUAGAUAGCCAAUUGAAAUGUAUUUAUUUUCAUUUUGUAUUGCCUGAAUAAUUUAUGUGUUAUGUUUUGCUACUUAUAGAGAUGAGGAACUUAAAAGGCAAGUUUUUAGAGCUAGGGAAGCUUUUGUUUUUCUUCCAUAAACAUCAAACUAGUACACAGAAUGUCCUCAUUAAGCAAUAUAAUAAAAUAAAAGGUGAAUAUUUAAUACAUAAGGAGAAAUAGAAAAAUUCACACUUACAUUAUUGCCAUACACCUCAAUGCAUAAAAGAACUACAAAGCGUGA